rnacentral:rRNA from 1 species
UUUUGCCAGAGCCGUAUCUCCCUGCAGUUCUCACCUGGUUUCCCAUUGAUGCUAAACAGGGUUGAGUGUGGCCAGCACCUGGAUGGGAGACCUCCUGGGGAAGACUAAGGUUGCUGCUGAAC